CAGAAAACUGAUAAAAUUAGUCUUGAUGAACACUUGAUGAACAUGAGGCCCAGAAGCUCUAAGAUCUCUAGUUUACUGGGAUUUAAAAUGAAAGCAAAUGGAGUGGAGCUUGGCUACAAUUAAGCCUGUCCCUAGUUAUGAGGGACAGGUUAUGAGGAAAUGAGAGCUAAAGAGUGGUAAGUUAUGUACUAAAGAAGUAGAUUUCCAUUCAAUUAAUAUUAAUAUUUGUCAUUUCAAUUCUUUUUUUUUUCUUUUUUUUUUUUUUUCCUGAGAAAAUUUUUUUCUGUCAGAAAAGUAAUGAACAGCAACACAAAAAAUAGAGACUGUGAUUUUAACUGUGGUAUUUUUCCUUAGAGUCUUGUUAGGAUGGCCUUGUCAUGGAACGUGGUAGGACUCUGAAGUACAAGGAAAAUAGUCUAGGCAGGAAAGAAAGAAAUAGAAACCAGAUGCUAAUGAAUACAUCUAAUUACCAUAAAAUACAUCAGGAGAACACACACAGAGAGGCAGUACUGUGAUUCACAUGUCAUCAACAUAAAUCUAAGGAGAAUUUAUUUUGUGAAAUCUUUACCAUGAGUGAUGUUGGAAACAGAAAGCAGAAUCCUCACUUACAAAUUUCAAGUUGAAUACGCAGCCUCACUUACAAAUUUCAAGUUGAAUAUGCAGGACUGGCAGAUGGAAUAAACUUUUUAAUUUCUGAAACA
rnacentral:lncRNA from 1 species